rnacentral:lncRNA from 10 species
CUUUUAGCUGCUUGUCCAAUGUGUUAUAUGUUGUUAGUCUCUGAGAACAUUUCUCAGCCCUGUCUAUGCUUGAAUAAUUUGCUUCGGGAGAGCUUCUGUUUAUACAUUUCACCUUCUGGGAGACUGCUGAUUCUUGGGUCAGCAGUUGGGACAGCUUCACUUUAUGGAUGAGGGCAGGAACCCUUAGAAGCAAUGUCUUUAGUUUUGACUAACCAUCAGCCAAUUUCUCAUGGGAUUGUCAUUGUCUUCCAAUAAACUUAUGCUACUUUCUGAUAUAACUUUAUUGAGGAUGAUUUAAAGUUGUAGUGACCACUUUGAGGAACAUUGAUAUGAGUAAGAUUGCUCAUUAGAGCAGUGCCUCAGAAUAAAAGGGGCUAGACUGUCUGCCUUAAGCAGAGAGAAUGUUAUUUAAUGUAGGAGACCCCUCUCCAUCCUUUGCUUGUGUAUUUCAGGGACUAAUAACUAUUGAUUUUUUUUGUAUUACAAUGGCUUGAUAAUAUUGUCAAGGAUCUGAGUUAUCGUUAAACCAUUAGUAAGAACUCUGUGCAUGAAAAUAUUUUUUCUGCAUCUAAACUUUCUCCUCUCUCCUUGCAGAGGAAAAAUAAGUAGCCUUUUACAGUGAUAGUUUCUUAUUUGUUUCAAGCUGUCUCCCUCUCAGAGACAGAGAAAAUCUGCCUUUUUUUUUCAGAGAUGGGGCCCUCACCAUGUUGCUCAGGCUGGACUUGAACUUCUGGCCUCAAGUGACCCUUCUGCCUCCUGGGUAGUUAGGACUAAAGGCAUGCGCCACUGUGCCCGGCUGAUCAUUUAUUUGCUUUUAUAGGUCACUAAAUAUAGAACAGAUUUUGUGAUGUCAUCUUGUCCAUCAGCCUAUUGCCCCACUGAUGCACAGAGAGUACAUUCUACUAGGAGGUUACACCCUACCCUCCAAUAGACAAGACACCAGAGCAUCCAUGCUAGAGUGUUCCUCUGCCAGUUCUUCCAUGAUGGUUCUCUCUCUCAGGGCUUCUGAUCUACAUAGGUGUCCUUGAGAAAGCCAUACAAUGCUGGAGACAAGUGGGGUGCUGUCUAAUAAGCAGCCCCCCUCCUUUCUCUUCUUCCCUGUGGUGAGAGGUGGGUUUCUGUGUUGUCCAGAUGUGCUUACAUCUGCCUCCUUACAAGAAGCAAUAGACUUUCAUUCAGUCAUCAGAUCUCAUUAACUGAUAAAACAUGGGGCAGGAAGGGGUGAAAGGGAGAACCAGAGAAGAUUGUUAGUGUAAAGAGACUGUCUGAAAACAGCUAGGUCUUCUAGCUCUGAUUUUUUGACCAUCCUGAGAGUUUGGUUAUCUUAUAAGUCAUGAUGAAAAGGAGCUGAAAAAAUAUUUUUAAAAAUAAAUUAAUACGAUAGGCUUUUAUCUUCAAGGGGGUGUCCUGGAAACAAUAUUUGAUUGGGCAUUAGUAAUGAUUUGGAAAAGAAAUGAAGAGGUAGGCUGUGAAAGUGAUGUCCUUACCACAGAAAUUAAAUGACCAGGAUGACUGCUGGGAACCCCAAAGUGCCCUGGAGCAGGUUACACAGAAAAGGAGGCCAGUUUCCAUAAGCAGGAGCCUAAAACUUAGGGCUCAUCCUAUAUGUGGAGAGUCUAGAUCUCAAAUUUGCUUUGUUUUGUUUUGUUUUUGAGACAGAGUCUUGCUCUAUUGCCCAGGCUGGAGUGCAGUGGUGUGGUCUCGGCUCACUGCAGCCUCCACCUCCCGGGUUCCAGCAAUUCUCCUGCCUCAGCCUCCAGGGUAGCUGGGAUUACAGGUGCACACCACCACGUCUGCUUAAUUUUUAUAUUUUUAGUAGAGACGGGGUUUCACCAGAUCUCAUAUUUGUUUCUAAAAAAGAGCAUGUAUGCAUUUGGUAUAUAAACUCCUUAAACAGGGUUUUACAUAAGGUCUCAGAUAUUAUGACAAUUAACAAUGCCAGUCCUGUUUCUGCAGAUGAAGGACAUGGUGACAUACUAUCUGACAUCAAGAAACUUUCCUCCAUGCCGCUCUUCAGCAACUCUGCUGCCACUUUUAUUAUUGUAUCUUAGUUUCACGGCAUUUAUGAAACUGGAAGGAAACUUUAAGAUCAAGUUCAAUCUCCACAUUUUACAGACAAGAAAGCUCACAUCAGAGAGAUCUAAGUGACUUGCUCAAAGUCACACAGCUCUCAGUAGCACAAGCCAGGUUUGACUCUGAAGUCCCUUGAUCUUCCCAGCAGCCUACAAUGCUCUUGAGCUCUGUUUUUUAUAUAUAGCUUGGGUUCCUCAACUAGAUUAGAAAUGGCUCCAGGCCAUGGAAUGUGGGCUUUUCUCAUACACCCCUCCCCAUUCUCCUUCAAGACCAUAGUGUAAAAUAUGUACUGAAUUCAGAUUUACGACUUUCCUUCUAUAUUUCUUCCUAAAUCAUGCCUUGAUGUAACUUAUUGUCUUCUAGGGGGAGAUAGAGGAGAGCUGCAGGAGAGUCAGCUAAAUUGUGCUGUUACAGGGAGUAAAGCCAUUUGGGAGCCUUAAUUAAUAUUAAAAUAUCAUGCACUGGUUUUGCCCUGAGGCCAUUUAUGUUUUCAAGUGGGUUGAUCGGGAUGAAGGUACUUAGGGAAACUUUGACAUAUUUCUGCCAACCUUUAGAUGACUCUAGGAUAUUGAUGAGUGACAGAGAGUUUAAUCCUAAAGAGACAAUCUGAUGUUGAUAGUUGCCACAAUCCAUUAAUCUACACAGAAGGGUGGAGCAAGGAUCCCCAGGCAUUAGCAGAUUUCUAAGAAUACAUUCAUUCUUUUUUAACUCAAAAUUCCAUAGGGCUGUCUUCAUAAGUCAAUUCAGUAAAGCAAAUAGUUAUUGACUGCCCACAUACAAAACACUAUGUUAAACACUGGAGAUAGAAGAAAAGAUAGUUCUUGCUCUGGAGGGGAUAUAAUCCUAUAAAGCAUAUAUUUAAAUAAUCCCAUUAUGAUAGAGUAAUAUUUCAACAGAAAUUUUUUUUUUUUUUUUUGAGAUGGAGUUUCACUCUGUCGCCCAGGCUGCAUGCAGUGUAGUGGUGCGAUCUCAGCUCACUGCAACCUCUGCCUCCCAGUUUCAAGCAAUUCUCCUGCCUCAGUCUCCUGAGUAGCUGCGAUUACAGGUGGUUGCCAUCAUGCCUGGCUAAUUUUUGCAUUUUUAGUAGAGAUGGGGUUUCACCGCGGUGGCCAGGCUGGUCUUGAACUCCUGACCUCAAGCGAUCCGCCCGCCUUGGCCUCGCAAAGUUCUGGGAUCAUAGCAUGAGCCACUGAGCUUGGCCUCAACAAAAAUCUUUCUUUCAUAAUAUUGUGUAUAAGUAAAAAGAUUGUUGGAAUCAGGCUAUCAAUCUCCAAACUAAUGAGAAAACUAAUAAGCUUUACUUUGGAAAAACAGAUAAUCAAACUUUCUAGGUAUAGAUUAUCUACUGAUGAAGGCUAUAAGUAAAAUAUUCAGUGAGGGCUCGUAUGUUCACAUUCUGUUACUUACUCACCAUUGCUCUGUGGUGUGAUAAAAAGAGCAGCAGACCAAGAAUUAGAUAAUCUGGGAUAAAGCUCUGGUUCUGCCUAUGUAAUAGUUUUGGGAGGUUAAGGUAUCUAACCUUCUGGAGGCAGUUUGCUCAUCUUAUUUUUAUUUUUUGAGGCUGAGUCUUGCUCUGUCGCCCAGGCUGGGGUGCAGUGGUUCCAUCUUAGCUCACUGCAACCUCCACCUCCUGGGCUCAAGCGAUUCUUC